GACCGCGUAGCUCAGUUGGCAGAGCAUUGGCCAUUGGGCUAGUAUUCCAAAGGUCGUAGGUUCAAUUCCCACCGUGGCCA